GAUGAACGCUAGCGGCAGGCCUAAUACAUGCAAGUCGAGGGGCAGCGCGGUAGCAAUACUGGCGGCGACCGGCGCACGGGUGCGUAACACGUAUGCAACCUACCUUCAACUGGAGGAUAGCCCGGGGAAACUCGGAUUAAUACUCCAUAACACAGGGAUCCCGCAUGGGAAUAUUGUUAAAGCUACGGCGGUUGAAGAUGGGCAUGCGUUCGAUUAGCUAGUUGGUGUAGGUAACGGCUCACCAAGGCUACGAUCGAUAGGGGGUCUGAGAGGAUGAUCCCCCACACUGGUACUGAGAUACGGACCAGACUCCUACGGGAGGCAGCAGUAGGGAAUAUUGGUCAAUGGGGCCGCAAAGGCCCUGGAACCAGCCCAUGCCGCGUGCAGGAGAAGGCCCUCUGGGUUGUAAACUGCUUUGAUAGGGACAAAUGCCACUUGCGAGUGGAGCUGAGUGUACCUAUAGAAUAAGCACC
rnacentral:rRNA from 1 species